GCGGAAGUGGCGGAAUUGGCAGACGCACCAUCUUGAGGGGGUGGCGCUUCACGGCGUGCGGGUUCAAAUCCCGCCUUCCGCA
rnacentral:tRNA from 1 species